rnacentral:rRNA from 1 species
UGCAGUCGAGCGGACUUUUAGAGCUUGCUUUUAAAGUCAACGGGGGACGGGUGAGUAACACGUGGGCAACCUGCCUGUAAGACUGGGAUAACUUCGGGAAACCGGAGCUAAUACCGGAUACGUUCUUCUCUCGCAUGAGAGAAGAUGGAAAGAUGGUUUCGGCUAUCACUUACAGAUGGGCCCGCGGCGCAUUAGCUAGUUGGUGGGGUAAUGGCCCACCAAGGCGACGAUGCGUAGCCGACCUGAGAGGGUGAUCGGCCACACUGGGACUGAGACACGGCCCAGACUCCUACGGGAGGCAGCAGUAGGGAAUCUUCCGCAAUGGACGAAAGUCUGACGGAGCAACGCCGCGUGAACGAUGAAGGCUUUCGGGUCGUAAAGUUCUGUUGUUAGGGAAGAACAAUUACCAUAGUAACUGCUGGUACCUUGACGGUACCUAACCAGAAAGCCACGGCUAACUACGUGCCAGCAGCCGCGGUAAUACGUAGGUGGCAAGCGUUGUCCGGAAUUAUUGGGCGUAAAGCGCGCGCAGGUGGUUCUUUAAGUCUGAUGUGAAAGCCCACGGCUCAACCGUGGAGGGUCAUUGGAAACUGGGGAACUUGAGUGCAGAAGAGGAAAGUGGAAUUCCACGUGUAGCGGUGAAAUGCGUAGAGAUGUGGAGGAACACCAGUGGCGAA